CCAGGUUCUUCUAGUCAGGUUUCACCUACACCAGGACCUUCACAUGAGCAUAUACAGAAGAAACAACAAGUGGAAAUGGACCAAAAUGCCUUUGUUACUUCACCAUCAAAUUUGCCUCACAAUAAUGAGCUGCAUU